CCUACGGGUGGCUGCAGUGGGGAAUAUUGGACAAUGGGCGAAAGCCUGAUCCAGCCAUGCCGCGUGUGUGAAGAAGGCCUUCGGGUUGUAAAGCACUUUCAGUGGGGAAGAAAGCCUUGGGGCUAAUACCCUCGAGGAAGGACAUCACCCACAGAAGAAGCACCGGCUAACUCCGUGCCAGCAGCCGCGGUAAUACGGAGGGUGCGAGCGUUAAUCGGAAUUACUGGGCGUAAAGCGCGCGUAGGCGGUCUGAUAAGCCGGUUGUGAAAGCCCCGGGCUCAACCUGGGAACGGCAUCCGGAACUGUCAGGCUAGAGUGCAGGAGAGGAAGGUAGAAUUCCCGGUGUAGCGGUGAAAUGCGUAGAGAUCGGGAGGAAUACCAGUGGCGAAGGCGGCCUUCUGGACUGACACUGACGCUGAGGUGCGAAAGCGUGGGUAGCAAACAGGAUUAGAUACCCCAGGUC
rnacentral:rRNA from 1 species